UGAAGCUACUAGACCAAUAUGAACUGAACUGUACUUGAAUUUUCCUUAGGGUAUCUUGUUUGUAUAAAUAUUAUCCAGGGAUUUGAUCCUUCAUCAAUGAAGUCUGAUGUUGUAAAAGUAGAACAUAGGGGUUAAUUGCAGUUUUUGACUAAUAUCUCAAAGACAAAAGCUGUUAGAGUAAAACUCAAGUUGCUGUUGUUAAAGUAAUUAUCAGGUUAAGAUCUAUAGGCCUUGUAAUUUUCAGACAUAUCCAACAACCCAUUGUCAGGUUACUGUUCCGAAAUAGUUAUUUUUUUAGGGAAUUUCAUUGUUUUUGGUUAUUAUCUUCAAUUUUUUUUGGAGAUAUAUAGAGAUAAAAUGUUACAGCAAAAAAUGUUCAGCAAAGUAAGAUCUACACAUGAGUCAAAUGAGUGAAUUUGAAAUGAGAUAUUAAACUGUAUGCAAUUAAAAUAGGAGGAACAAUUUAUUUGCUUAUAUUUUAAGAUUCUGUGGAUUUAUUGAUUUUCGUGGGAUACCAAUUUUUGUGGAUUACGUGGGUGUAGGUGAACCACAAAUUUGAAUACUCAACGAAGUAGGAAUUUUAUAUAGGUUUGUUUCAACACAUAAUAAAAACCAUGAAAUCAAAUAUACUAGAAAGCACAAUUUUUCCACAAUCCAAGAAAACUGGUAUCCACGAAAAUAAAUGAAUUCACAGUAAGACAGCUUACAUGUUCCUAUAUCCUUUUUUUAUUUAUUUUAAUUGAAGUAAAUGAAAAAUAUUUCCUCAGGUAUGCCCAUCUCCUUAGUUAUAAAGGCAAAAGAAAUGAAAGCUGAAAUUAUAGAGUAUCUGCAGAAUUAUAAGCCAUUUAAAUCAUUGCCAAAAGUUGGAGAUAGCCUGUUUAACCAUUAUGUUGACAACACUAGAGGCAUAUCUGAGGAAGUGAGAGAUGAAUUAACUUCAUAUCUUAGCUUGACAUAUAAAGACAUUUUCAAUCUAUCUGUCAGUUCUGACAUUCCAUCUAUGAUGCACAACACUAUAUCAUUCAUAAACAUCAUUCAGGAAACAAAGAUUUAAAUAAUCCAAUAGAUGUUUGCCUAAAUUUAGAAAGGACCAGUGAAACUACUGGAGAAUAUGAAAGGAUUGGUAAAAAUACUAAAAAGGAUGCAAUUACAGGACUUAUUAAUCAUUCAUCGACAAAAGAUAAAAAAUCCGAAAUAGGCAGAAAAAGAUCAGGAAAUAAGAAAAUAUAUACAGCAGAAUCCAAGAAGUGUACAGUAAGACUGACUGAUAUUGGUACUAUUAAAAACUUGAAAACAUAUGUAAACAAGACAGAGAAAAAAAGAAAAAGAAGGAAGAUAUGUGUAAAGAACUUGUAAAAAAAAUGUUAAAUGUUAAAGGGGCACUAGCUGUCAAAUUCAUGUUCACCGAUUUUACUUAAUUUCUAGUAUUUGAUUUAUAAUAAUGAAUAAUGUUAACAUUUAUCCAACCUAUUAAAAGUCUACAAUAAAUAUUAAGAGGACACGGUAUAAAAUUACAUAGCUUCAUUUCGUGUGUUCUCAGUCUAGACCGCCAUCUAAAUAACUAUUGAGUUGACCUCUAAAGUCAUUCAAUGAUCAUAUAAGCGAUGUAAACAUAAAUAUAGAUAUAAAUAGAUCAAGCAAAUUCAUGCUCUUGGAUUAUUCUAGGUCUAGUUAAUUUUAUAUUAUACUGUGGAUUUGUUUAUUUUCGUGGGUACCAAUUUUUCGUGGAUUGAGGAAAACUUACAUGUUCG